AAAAAGGGCUUCUGUCGUGAGUGGCACAUAUAGGGCAGCUCGUUUGCUCUACGUGCGGAACUGACUUCAAGACAUUUCGGAAGCAUAAUUUUUGCUAGUGGGGCAGCUGGCGAUCGUUGGUCCUGGCGCCCCC
rnacentral:snRNA from 1 species